UGUGUGAUAGUCAUUUUGAGGCAAAAUACAUUUCUGCUUGGACUCGCAAGUUAUUUGGAAACGCUGUUCCAACUCUAAAUCUUCCUGGUUCAACAGGCCCAAAUGAUGUAUAUGGUACUCCAUCAACAUCUAAGUCUUCAAAUAGUACUGCUCAAGAAAGUACUCAAUUUAAUGAGUUAGUCAUUGAGAUUCCAGAAUUGAACGAAUCUUCUCACAGUAUUGAAGGUAAUGAAUAUAAACAUAUAGACAUAUGUUGAAAUGUAUGUUCUCAAUGAAUUAUCAUUCACACCAAAACUUGUUAAUUUCGUUUAGAGUUUAUGGUGGAUCUUUCACUAGAAGAUUGUGUUACCCAACGUUAUCAUUUCUCACUUCUUUUUGUGAUAUUGUCAAAGUGAUAAAAUAUUGUUUAGAUAAACAACCAUACUCCAAACAUUCAAUUCAUAUAAUUGAAAAUACAGUAAGAGGCAAGGCUAGCUUUGAAUUCUUAUCUUGCAACAAAGAGGAACAUAAAAAUAAUAUAAUUCACCACGACAACACAUAAUUGGUGCAAGCGUGUAAAUCAAAUUAUACAGGGAAAAUCGAAACCGUAUACAUGUAAAAAUGUAAUUAAAUUACAAGCCAAUAAAAUUCGUUUGAACAGAAUAAAGAAAAAGAUUUCUAAGCAACCUGAACAUAUAAUCACACAAAAUGUUUAAUGUUGAAAUGUUCUGAAUAAAAAAUCUAUAAUAAUUCA